GUAGGGUGCGAGCGUUAAUCGGAAUUACUGGGGCGUAAAGCGUGCGCAGGCGGUUGUGCAAGACAGAUGUGAAAUCCCCCGGGGCUCAACCUGGGGAAUUGCAUUUGUGACUGUACGGCUAGAGUGUGUCAGAGGGGGGUAGAAUUCCACGUGUAGCAGUGAAAUGCGUAGAGAUGUGGAGGAAUACCGAUGGCGAAGGCAGCCCCCUGGGAUAACACUGACGCUCAUGCACGAAAGCGUGGGGAGCAAACAGGAUUAGAUACCCUGGUAGUCCACGCCCUAAACGAUGUCAACUAGUUGUCGGGUCUUAAUUGACUUGGUAACGCAGCUAACGCGUGAAGCUGACCGCCUGGGGAGUACGGUCGCAAAGAUUAA
rnacentral:rRNA from 1 species